rnacentral:misc_RNA from 1 species
CGACGGAUGCGUCUAUCGCGUUGUCAAAGGCCUGAAUUGGAGCGAAGCCGCCUACGAUCUCGCGCUUCCCGAGAGCUAUUUGCGGAAGCUGAACCACCAUAUUUCAUCGCAGUAUAUUCCCGUCCAAUCCGACCUGAUUGUCUGGCGCGAGCGAUUUCCGCUGCAGGGGGAGCGCAUUCAAUGAACCUGGCAAAAUAUGAACGGCGUUCGACCCACGCGGCAACGCGUAUCUCGCUGUUG